rnacentral:rRNA from 1 species
GAUGAACGCUGGCGGCGUGCUUAACACAUGCAAGUCGAACGAAGCAUUUAAGACAGAUUACUUCGGUUUGAAGUCUUUUAUGACUGAGUGGCGGACGGGUGAGUAACGCGUUGGUAACCUGCCUCAUACAGGGGGAUAGCAGCUGGAAACGGCUGGUAAUACCGCAUAAGCGCACAGUACCACAUGGUACAGUGUGAAAAACUCCGGCGGUAUGAGAUGGACCCGCGUCUGAUUAGCUAGUUGGCGGGGUAACGGCCCACCAAGGCGACGAUCAGUAGCCGAACUGAGAGGGUGACCGGCCACAUUGGGACUGAGACACGGCCCAGACUCCUACGGGAGGCAGCAGUGAGGGAUAUUGCACAAUGGAGGAAACUCUGAUGCAGCGACGCCGCGUGAGUGAAGAAGUAGUUCGAUAUGUAAAGCGCUAUCAGCAGGGAAGAUAGUGACGGUACCUGAAUAAGAAGCUCCGGCUAAAUACGUG